UAGUGUAGUUAAUAGCUGCAGUAUUUGACGUUAGCGACAGAAGAAGCACCGGCUAACUCCGUGCCAGCAGCCGCGGUAAUACGGAGGGUGCGAGCGUUAAUCGGAAUUACUGGGCGUAAAGCGCAUGCAGGUGGUUUGUUAAGGUCAGAUGUGAAAGACCCGGGGCGUCAACCUCGGAAUAGCAUUUGAAACUGGCAGACUAGAGUACUGUAGAGGGGGGUAGGAAGUUUCAGGUGUAGCGGUGAAAUGCGUAGAGAUCUGAAGGAAUACCGGUGGCGAAGGCGGCCCCCUCGGACAGAUACUGACACUCAGAUGCGAAAGCGUGGGGAGCAAACAGGAUUAGAUACCCUGGUAG
rnacentral:rRNA from 1 species